GAUGAACGCUGGCUACAGGCUUAACACAUGCAAGUCGAGGGGAAACGGCAUUGAGUGCUUGCACUGAAUGGACGUCGACCGGCGCACGGGUGAGUAACGCGUAUCCAACCUUCCCGUUACUGCGGGAUAACCUGCCGAAAGGCAGACUAAUACCGCAUGUUCUUCGAUGGCGGCAUCAGAUUCGAAGCAAAGAUCCGUCGGUAACGGAGGGGGAUGCGUCUGAUUAGCUAGUUGGCGGGGCGACGGCCCACCAAGGCGACGAUCAGUAGGGGUUCUGAGAGGAAGGUCCCCCACAUUGGAACUGAGACACGGUCCAAACUCCUACGGGAGGCAGCAGUGAGGAAUAUUGGUCAAUGGGCGGAAGCCUGAACCAGCCAAGUAGCGUGCAGGAUGACGGCCCUACGGGUUGUAAACUGCUUUUAUGCGGGGAUAAAGUGAGGGACGCGUCCCUUUUUGCAGGUACCGCAUGAAUAAGGACCGGCUAAUUCCGUG
rnacentral:rRNA from 1 species